CCAAAGUGCUGGGAUUACAGGCGCGAGCCACCGCGCCCGGCCUUUGUUUUGUUUUUAAUAGAGACGAGGUCUAACUAUGUUGCCCAGGCUGGUUUUGAACUCGUGGGCCUCUCAAAGUGCUGGGAUUAUAGGCAUGAGCUGCCACGCCAGUUUAUAAAGUAUUUUCACUUAGGGCCGAGGGCAGCUGUUUAACCCUGUUAGUCCCUAUUUAUCCUUACUAUGCAGAUGAAUAUAUCGAGACAGCUUGGGACUGAGGUCUCUGCCCUUACGAAGCUGGGACUCCAGUUAAGGUUUUCUGCCACUUAAAGUGCUUUUCUCUGGCAUGGUUGGUAGCUGUGGUAAUGCUUUACCACUCUGUUCCUCCCCCCCUCACUUACCACUCACACAAUUCCUCAUUUCCUGCUUGCACAGUCCUGGGUCAUUCGAGAUUAAUACCAUUGACUUUCAUUCAACAGUUGGGGAGCAAUUCGGGCCAAGCACCAGGCAGCGAGUGUGCUGUGGUGGGAGAAAAAAAAAGGAGACACUCCUUCCUCUUAAGGAAUGCAAUGCAGCGGAGGGUGCAUUUUCUAAAACGCUGCCACGGAGUUAUGUGCAACCCAAAUAACUACAAUGCAGUGCUAUUAAAUGCUUUGCGAAAUGCUACGUGCUAAAUGGAGGUAUUUCUCAUGGCUUUAACAGUGGACUUCAGGAGUCAUGGUUAAGUAACAGGUGUGGGGCAGGUAACUGACCAAACCUCUCCUCUGAGCCUCCAUUUUCUUACCUGUAGAGUGAGGAUACUUACCUCCCUCCUAGGGCUGUCAGGAUUAAAUGAGAUGGCAGGUAAAGACCUUAGCACAGUGCCUGGCGCAUGGUAACUGCUCUGUCCAUUUUGUCACUAUAAGCUCUUCUGGUUUAUUGUAAAGUAUAUAAUGCAACCCAAGUGAAGCAAAAUUCCAUGAAUAAAAAAAGUCAUCUCAUUAUAGCUUGCCUCAAAUUAUAAAAUCUCUAAUAAAAAUGAAGGUAUGUAGUUAGUGGCAGAAGUUUGUCUACAACUAGAUCUGUCCAGUGCUCAAUACUCUCUACUAUGUCACAAACUUCAGGACAGGGUUAAGAGGGAGACAAGGUACUGCCUGGAAGGGGAAUACCUUCUGGGGUCCUGGUAAGCG
rnacentral:lncRNA from 1 species